UGAGUUGAGUAGAUGGUCGCGUCCUGAUUGUAGUAUUGCCAUCGGGAUGAGGAAAGUCCGGACUCCGCAGGGCAGGAUGCUGGGUAACCCCCAGGAGCGGCGACGCUAUGGAAAGUGCAACAGAAAGUAGACUACAAUACCCGAAGGUGUUGUACAGGUGAAACGGUGCGGUAAAAGCGCACCAGUCCAUAAGGUGACUUAUG
rnacentral:RNase_P_RNA from 1 species